rnacentral:rRNA from 1 species
UAAUACAGAGCCCCCAAGCGUUAUCCGGAUUUAUUGGGCGUAAAGGGUCCGUAGACGCCUCGUCAAGUUUCUUAUUAAAUCUUCAGGGCUUAACCUUGAAGCUGUGGGAAAAACUAGCGAGGUAGAGGGCGUUAGAGGCCAGUGGAAUACACGGUGUAGGGGUGAAAUCCGUUGAUAUCGUGUAGAACACCAAAAGCGAAGGCAGCUGGCUGGAGCGACCCUGACGUUGAGGGACGAAAGCGUGGGGAGCGAAGAGGAUUAGAUACCCUCGUAGUCCACGCCCUAAACGAUGGAUGCUAGCUGGUGGGAGUGUCGACCCUUUCACUGGCGAAGCUAACGCGUUAAGCAUCCCGCCUGAGAAGUACGGCCGCAAGGUUG